rnacentral:misc_RNA from 1 species
GAUGAAGAACGUAGCGAAAUGCGAUAAGUAAUGUGAAUUGCAGAAUUCAGUGAAUCAUCGAAUCUUUGAACGCACAUUGCGCCCGCCAGUAUUCUGGCGGGCAUGCCUGUUCGAGCGUCAUUACAACCCUCAGGCCCCCGGGCCUGGCGUUGGGGAUCGGCGGAGCCCCCCGUGGGCACACGCCGUCCCCCAAAUACAGUGGCGGUCCCGCCGCAGCUUCCAUCGGGUAGUAGCUAACACCUCGCGACUGGAGAGCGGCGCGGCCACGCCGUAAAACACCCAACUCUUCUGAAGUUGACCUCGAAUCAGGUAGGAAUACCCGCUGAACUUAAGCAUAUCAAUAAGCGGAGGA